CCGGCGUGCGGCUGCGCUCGAAGGAGUCCCACUGCUCGCCCAGGAAACAGCGGCAGACGGCGCAGACCAAGGCGCAACCCUCUGCCGAGACGGCGCGGGCACCGGGGGCCGGUUCCUGAUGCUGGAGGAAUGGAAAGAAGGAACGAGCUGCUCUGCAAAUGCCAAGUGCUGAUGCCAAAGGGCCGUGUCAACAAAGAAGAAUGAGUGUGGCUGUUAGAGGCUGCUAUUAAAAAAGGGUGGAGAGGAGAGGGAGAGAGAUGGGGAGAAAAAAAAAAAGGGUUUGUCAGUGCAAAUACUAACAGUUUGCACAGCAGAAAAAAUUCAGCCGGCGUCCUGCAGUGCCCUUGGGGGCUUGCACCAAGCAGGGACCUGCACCCCAUGUACUCCCCAGGGUACAAACCCAUCCCACUGACUUGGCAUCCCCUCCACAGGCACCACAAAGUGUUUUCCAAGCUCUAAGUAUUUUCAGCUCCUGCUCGGCCAUCAAGCCCCAGUGCAGGGAGUGGUGUCCAGGCUGUGCGUGGCAUCGUGUCCCUGGAACACAGUGGGACGGGUCGAGGUCCUGAGUGCCAGGAGCUAUUUGUAGGCACUGCCAAGCGGGAUGAGAGGGAAGGAGCCUCUCACAUGAUGCUGAAGAUGCAAUGGGAAGACACGAUCUCUGGUUUCAGCUUUCUAUUCCUGGUCCCGUUAUUCACCGGUCGAAGAUGCCAUCUGCCCCGCUGGGCAGCUGGGGCCGGAUCCGCAGCUGGUGGAGCUCCAAGAGAAUCCAAGGGAGUUUGAUGGCCUCAUUCCUUGGGGAGCAGGCAAAGGUUAUGGAUAAUUCCCAGACAAAAUUCCGCCUUGACGUUGCCUCUCCCCUCCCCCGAUAUCUGGUACCCAGGAUGCCAAACCCAAGCAGAUGCAGCGGGGCCUGGGAUGCCAAGGAGCAAUGCAUGGGAAAAGGCAACACCAGCAUACAAAUACAGAGAAAGAUAUAAACAAAAACUGAAUCUUUCUCCAAAAUCCAUACUGAAAAUCUUUCUGGGGCUAAUACAUCAGUUUACUCCAUAUUGACUUUUUAAAAAUUAUUCUAGCUUACUGUUUUCGAAGCAUACCUUGGGCUUUCCUUAGCCCUGAUUUUACUACCACAUCAGCAUGCACCCCGCAACCCACCUUUUGUGCUCAUCUCAAAAGCAAUACUAGGAGGAGCUCAAACCUCCUCGAACAGCAGAGUUUUAAUGUACUUUUCCCCCCCAAAAAAAGGAAAAAAUUGGUCAAAAUUGAGAUGUUCCCACAGAAACUGGUAUUUCCCGAUGGAAAAACAUUCCAUCAGCAAAAUGCUGACCCGCUCCGGUUACAGCCUGGUCAUGGCGAUGAGGCAAUGCAGCUGGGAAAGGAAUUAGAAAAGGAGUUGGAGAGCUGCACAGCUUCACCGCAUCCCCGGCUGCGAGGACCUCACUUCUCCCCAGUCAUUCCCAGUAGCAGGAUGUGGAUGGGCUGGGAGGAGCUGAGCUGUCAGUACAGCACCCCAGGAUCCCGGCACCCCAACCCCAUCAUCACCCCAACCCCACUGGCACCCCGGGAUGUCUCACCCACAGUCUCUGCUCCCCCAAACCUGACUGUGGCUUUAUCUGAAGUUCCAGGCGAGCCAAGGGGACCAGAUGUCCCCAAGGACGAAGCUCUGCAAACAACCCCAGCCUGGCCCGCACUGCUUAUUGGGAACAUCUUGCAGGAUUUAGCAAGCUGCAGGAGGAGAUUAGCAGAGCGAGGGCUGGCAGCUCGGCAGUUUUGCCACCGGGACUGCAGACCAAGGGUUGUCGUCUGUGUCUUUGCUCAAAGAAUUGGUGGAAGUGCUCUUGUUUGGGAGGUUCUCCUGUGCCUUCAGGUGGCCAAGCGAUGGAUGGGGUUUGUUUUCUUUCUUUUUUUGAAGGCACGUUGGUAAACGCUGACUGGAACGGAACGGGAAUCAACCGUCCUUUCCACAUCCAAAGGGUGAGAAGAGAAAUUUCUGCAUGGAAAAGCUUUUUGUUGGCCAUAAUGGGGCAGAAGCAACCCCAAAAUGGCAAAUGCAGCUCACACAGGGUCCAGCCCCACUGCGGGAAGCACUGAUGCACAGGAAAGGUCCCAACCAUGCAGAUGAAGCAGGGGCUUAUCCCCACCACCCCACACAACGCUGGAUCUCAUCAACUGCAACAGACACAUCCCUCUGGACACAGGACACAGCUGUCACACCCUGGGAAACUGAGGCAAAGGGGCUAAUCUGCAGGAACGUAAGCCCAGACCUCCCAAAUUCCUGUCGACCAGCUUAAAGCACAUCCCUGUGUCCUGCCAAUCACUUUCCCACCAAAAUGUGGGUUUCCAGCAGGGAUUCGCCCUCCUCCAGCUGCAAGGAUGCUCUCAGAGCCCAGCGGUCCAUCCCGAGGGAUGUGCUCGCGCUUCCAAUGGGGAUGAAGCUUGAUCCCACCAGGCAAAAGUACCAUCUUCCAUGGGGACUCCCGUGGGGACACCCCACCUCAAAUCAUGGUGCACCAGGGACAGGGUCCCCAUCCCCAACAUCUCCCCAUUUCUCCCAUAAAUCAACACCAGCACCGUGAACUAAAAGCAAGUUUAUCUUAAAGGCUUUUAAAAAAUACAUAUUAAAAAAAUACAGCUUCAUCAGAAAGGCUUUUUUUUUAUUAUUUUUUGAGGGGGAAAGGUUUAUACUUCCCUGGAGACCUCUUCAAUAAAACGCGUUUUGGCUC